GGGAAGUCGCUCAAGUCGUGUCCGACCCUCAGCGACCCCAUGGACGGCAGCCUACCAGGCUCCUCCAUCCAUGGGAUUUUCCAGGCAGGAGUACUGGAGUGGGGUGUCAUUGCCUUCUCUGGAAAAACAAGACAGCAGGCCUCAAAUGGAGCCUCAUGCAAAGCCCCGCAUCCCAAUCCAGGACAAUCAUUACAGCUUGGCUCUCCCAGAAAUAGAAUCUCAAACCAGUCCACCAGGAAUUGCCUUAUCAGUGCUGGUUAAUCUGCCUGAUAGACCCCUCCCCUAAAGGAAAACAGCCUUGCCAUAACAAGCAUGCUGUUUUCCUAAUAGAACCUCAUUUCUGCUCCCUUCUGCCCACAAAAGUCUCUUUAUUUUGUACUUCCGCUUGGUGCUCCUUUCUAUCUCCUGGGAGGCAUGCUACCCAAUUGAACUGAUUUUUGCUUAAACAAGUUCCUAAAAAUUUUAAUAUUCCUCACUUUAUCUUUUAACCUUUCUGGUGUGAGAAGAGGGAACUGAAGGAGACCCCCCUCCUAAAGGCCCCCAGAAGCAAAAGCAACUAGACUUGGAUACCUGUUGAGCCCUUGAACUCUGCUUUCUUGCUGUCUCUGGAGUUGGUGAGUAAGUCCCUCUCAGAUUCUACUUCUGCAGCUUUUCCAAGAGAUUUCAGACUUUAUUUGAGCACAUCUUCUUGACUGUCCAGAAACUGGUCAGAGUGGGUCUGACUUAAAAAACUGGAUUGGGACUGGGAUUGGACUGGGUCAAGCUUAGAAACUGGACUGAAUCUAGAGUCAGACUGGUUCUGUUAAGUUGGACUGCAUACAGUAUGAGGCCUCAGGUAAUAAAAUUUUGUUUUAGGGCUGGACAAGCAGGCUAACUUUACCAAAGAUAAUCUUGAAUCACAGUGGCCACAGUGGAAAACUUGUAACCUAGAUAAUCUUAUCAAGUAUGAUGUGAUCUAGAAAACGGGGAGGGGGAUCUCAGCCAAGAACUCAUCACAAAGAUAGAGGGAAAAUGACUUUUCCUCCUGUAAAAGUUUAGAUGACCAGGAUGGGACCUACUGGAUCACACUGGUCACUCCAGAGCUUGCAGACAGGAUCCUAGAAAAACUGCCAGAAGCCAGCAAAGCCCUCUGAUUAGAGAUUGGCCAAAUGUGGAAGUUGAUGUUCAGAACCAGAUGGGAACUUUUUUAAGGCCUUUUCUUCUAAGCUGAAGUGAAACUAUAUCACCAGAGGGAAAGAAACAUUCUGAAGCCUUUGUGGAAGAAUUUACCUAUGCACUCCACAGACACAUAGCUCUAAAUCUGGAACAUAAGACCUUUUGAUCUUCAGCUUAGUUGAAGAUCUUCUCCUGAUGUAAAGAAGGGAAUUGAGGAUAACAUUGUUGGAUGGCUGAGAUGGCCUCCAUAUCAUUCAGAUUGCCACCUGAGAAACUGAACCCCAGUAUUCUUGCCGGGAGAACCCCAUGGACAGGGGAACCUGGCAGAAUGUAGUCCAUGGGGUCACAGAGAGUCAGACACGAAUAAAGUGACUAAGCAGCAGCAGCAGAACUUGUAGUAACUGUCUUACAGAUCAAGCCUUUUUAACAACAGAAAUGCUCUGGAAAUAAUUCAAAGCCUGCUUAUCCUUUCCACCAAUCCCCAAAUGUACCCUUUAAUGUAAAAAAUCUUGCAUAUAUUGUCAAUGUUCUGGACUUAAGGAACAAAAGUCUGUGGUGCAACUUCCAUUCUUUGUGCCUUUGAGAUGUAGGUAUUUACAGAGUCUCCUCUAGGAAGCAAGGGAAUUGUUAUCAGAAGAGAAAAAAAAAGAAAAGUUUAUUUUAAAAAUAAGAACUAUCAAAAAUCUUAAAAGUCUCUUUUACAAAUACUAGUAAAAUACUAUCUGAUCAGGUAAACUUAAUUUAUUUCAUCUUCCAGAAAUACACUGGACCUGUUUUUUUUUUUUAAUAAACUAGUGAGUUUCAUAUUAUAUCUUUCUUAUGUCUAAAAGUUUUAAAUUAAACUUAGAAGAGCUCUGCUUGUAUGUUUUUGUAUUUCUGUAUAUGGAUGCUAUAGAUGGUGAUGUGUUUGUGUCUCUGAAUGGUAUUUCCAAAAUUAUUUUUUUAAAAUUCUAUCUAAUUGGCUUAAAGAUGAACAAGCAUUAUACAGAUCAAGUAUACUCUCAGAAACAUAGACUAACCCCUAUGUUUUUCUAAAUUCAGGCAAUUGUACCUAGGUUUGAUAGAAGUGAAGUAAGGUUUUAUCAUAUCUGUUGUAAAUUUUUCAUUGAGAAAAAUAACUUUGUAUGUGUUAGGGACACUAAAAUGGAGGAAGUCUUGUUCAGGCUUCAGUAGCAGGAGAGGAGGUCUCUGACCUGGCUACCCACCUGCCUGGGCACUGCUUGGAUUCCAUGCUUGCCUGAAAGCACAGCAAAUCAGGCAGCACUUUAGAUAAGAGAGGGAGUGGGUCUUGGAAUUCUUGAGCCCUGGAAGUCUGGCCAACUGCUCAGGGCCUAACAUAAGCCUAUGACUCAUAAGCUGAAACAAAUAGCAUUGUAAAAAGACUAAAGUAAAACCCAGAGCUGCAUUUUUGUGCCCAAAAUGAUGAUAUCAGUUUGUGGCCUGGAAUGACAAGGGGGAGUCCCUGAAACUACAAUCUGAAGACUCACCCAUGGAGUGGACACCCUGCCCAGGACCUUUUCCCAAUUGGACUCUAGAUUGCUGUUAACAAGCGACUUACCAGGAUACUGUUUAAGUCCAGAUGUUGGUCAGCCCAAUUUGGUGAUGUAUGUGCCAUUACUCUUCUCUAUUGUUUCUCUUUUCUUGUAAUGAUUGUAUAUUGAAAUUAAAUUAAUCCUCUAUUAAAUAUUGAAAUUGUUUGUGUGUAAUGAGUGCUUUUUUUUGUUAACAAAUCCUUUGUACCUGAAACUAAACUUUCAGCCAAACAGUAUAAUGAUAUUUUAAUAAGUAAAUGAGAUAAGAGCUUUUGGGUGAACUCCUUAGGAAUAAUUAUAUAUUAGGAAUAUCUACUUAAAAAUAAUCUCUCAAACCUAUAAGGACCUAAUGUAUAGCAGAGAGAACUAUGCUCAAUUACUAUUAAUAACCUAUAAUGCAAGAAAACAAAUCACUUUACUGUUUCCCUGAAACUAGCACAACAAUGUAAAUCAAUUAUAUUUAAAUUAGAAAAAAAAAUUAAAAAGUCUCUCUAGAUUUUGGUAACUUGAAGAGUUGUGAUAAAUUAAAUGAUGAAAGUUUAUUGAUUAGGUCAUUCCAAAUAAAACAAUAUACUAAAACAUUAAUUACUGAACAUUGACUUCAUUUUACAAAGAAACUAAAGGUAUUUAGGAUGAUUAAUAAAUAAGUUUGGUGUCAAACUGAGAUAUUUUCUAUAAGAAAGCACAUGUUUUUAGAAAAUACUAUUGGUGUUUAUGUUUGCCAAUCUACAGAAUGCUAACAUAAAAGUUCAUAAUUGCUUAUUUCUUAGUUUUCACUAGAAAUUAAGAUUUUUAAGGGUUGAAUUUAAAUAUAUAAUUAAAGCUACUAGAAGCAGUAAGAAAAACAUUUCAGUAUACAGUAGCAAAGUAGGAUAUGUGUUUUCAAUAAAGGAAGGUAUGACAAAUGGAAUUGCAUUUUGUUAAAGGAAAAUGAAGUAAUUUUGUUUUAGAGUUGAUUGUUUCUUGAUGGGAAAAAAAAUUGAUGACAAACUAAUACAGAUACAGAAAGUGAUGGAAGGUUUGUGGUAAAGGAACCUUGAAUAAAAAGUUUUGUGCAUGGUAAAAACUGGCUGUUUAGAAUAAUUUAAUUGAGUACGUUUAAAAAGUAAGCUGGUGCAAAACCAGAAUUUGCUUUUUUUUCUGUGAAGAGGACAGCUUUCUUAAAAUAUUGACCUGUUUUUCAUAGCAGAUUGUAAAGUUCAUUUUACUUUUAACCAGGAGUCUGUUAUAACUUUCUUAUUUUGCCUUUGAAAUCUUUGGUUGUCCUUUUGCUUAAGUGAGUAAACAUUGAUUCACAGUGACCUAUGAUCUUGUUUGACCAAGUACUUUGAAACUUUUCCAUAUUUUGAUGACAAAUUUCCCAAAUCAAAUUCUAGUGUAGUUCCUUUGACCUCUAGCGAAGUUUUGGAUGCUUCAAAGGAGCACUGCAACAUUCUAAAGAAAUAUAAAUUAAGUAGGUUUAUUUGGUAUGUUAAAUUACAAGGGAAGUAUUGUCAAAUAAGUAAUAAAUCUUCUUAGGUUAUACUGUAUGAGUAAAUGUCAUUAGUCUAGAAAUUAUAUGGAAUCUCUAAGAAUCUGGUGUGUCCUGACAAAAUAUUAUCAGUCAUAAUUUUAGUCAUUUUUAAAAUGUUUUAUGCCACAGGAGUAAACAAAUUUCUUUUUCAGUUUCAUUGUAAGCAGGACUUUAACUGUGACUUCUUGUAUUUUGUCAUUCAUAGACAGUUACUGUUUUAUUCUGACACCUUUGCAAAAAUGGGUCCUCUUCAAGAAUAUUCUUAGCAAAGAUUUUUGGACAAGUACAAGAUUCUGAUAACUUUCAGAUCCAUACUGGUGAUCUGGGUUGAAAUUAAACAAUUCUAUUAGAAAACCUGAUGGCUUCAUAAAACUGUUAACAAAAGGACUAUUUAUAUAGGUCUAUGUGAACUGGGGAAUAAGGUUAUAAAUUUAUGGUUUCUAUUUAAAGUAUUACUAACAUUUUUCUUUUCCAGAUGAAAGACACUCUUCCCUUCAGAUAAUUAUGAGUUAGAGAAACUUGUUAAUUAUACCUUAUAAGCAGAAUUGAAAUAUUUAUCUUUUCUCUCUGCUUGAUCUUUCCAGAGAUGGGAAACUCUUAGGUUCCCAGCAACUUUAAAAAUCAAGCAAAUUAGGAAAGCCAUUUCCUAACAGGUGGAGGAAUUUCAAAGUGUUUUGUCUUUAAAAGGUAGGAAUUUACUCAUAUCUGUUGUUAACUCAGGUCAAAUUUGUCACAAGCCUUUGAUGUGGCUUUCCUGGCAGUAAGAGGCCUUUUGAUAAUUCAACCUGAAGUUCCUUAUAGCAAAGCCUUUUCCUUUCAGCAAAGCCAAUUUCAAAAGAGCCUGUAUAGUUACACUUGUAUAAAUCACCAGACCAAGUUUAUUGAAACCAGAAUUAAUUUGUAAACAAAUAAGUAUUACUUGGCUAUACUUGGUAGAAAUAAGGGUAAUUUUAGAGAGAAAAAGAUUAUAUUUCUGUGGAGAGUAAAUUCAAGUUUGUUCGCUGAGGUCUUUAUUUACUGAGUCACUUCCCAGAUAGCUCUUAGCUAUUACAUUGUUGUAAAUUUUAGUUGAAUUAUUAAAAGGAUAGUCUAGUUUGUUUCUGAAGUUUUCUCAUUAGUCUGUCUUUGGAUGAAGAUCAGAGGUCCCAACCUGCAACCAGGGGAUUAUACAUUCUGGGAAAGACAUCAUUUAAAGGACUAUCUUCAACCUAAAUGGAAGGACUCUCAUCAGGUACUCAUGGACAGUGAACCUAAAGGAAAUUGAUGCUUGGAUUACUAUUUCCACUUAGAGAGGGUCCCUGAAAUUAACUGAGCUAUACACAGGACUGCUGACUUCAAAAUCACCUUAAAACAAUGCUUACACAGAGGAGAAAGUAUCAGACCAGGAUGGUAAGAAAAAGUAGACAGCUGAUCCAAGAUUCCAAAGCAAGCUUGUACGCCAAUUACUUUGAUAAUUGCUCACACUUGCUUAUGAAAUAAACAUAUUUCAUGAUAUGUACAGAUAAAGUUAAUUGAAUUGUUGAGUUUAUACUCAAUCACCUAUUUCCAGUACUUCUGGAUUACCAUGGUGGAUUUCUCCAUUCAAGGCUCUAACUGAAUGACCUUAGGAAAUUAUUCUGGAAAGAAGAAGUUAUAACUCUGUUUGGGCCACUAUUGAUACUAAAAGAAGGGACUCCCUCACUUGGCCAAUCAAUCAUAGCUACUCUGACCAUUGCUAUGAACAUUAAAGACCCCUUCCCUUAUGUUGGGAAAAGUGCAAGUAAAUACUAAGUGUAACCAGCCAAAUAACAUGAAGAACUGUGACUGGCCUUAUGAACAGUUCCAGUAUAUCAUUUCCUUUAAAGGAAAGGAUCAGUAUAGAAUACACUACAUCAAACUGAUAUCGAAAGUACAAAAAAUAUAUAUAAGGAAAUAUACGGGGAUAUGAAAUAAUAAAUACUAAUAUUUGGAAAUAAACCUUUCUAACUGACUAAAUAAAGAAACCUAUGGAACUU